GACGAACGCUGGCGGCGUGCUUAACACAUGCCAGUCGAACGGAAAGGCCCUGCUUUUGUGGGGUGCUCGAGUGGCGAAGGGGUGAGUAACACGUGAGUAACCUGCCCUUGACUUUGGGAUAACUUCAGGAAACUGGGGCUAAUACCGGAUAGGAGCUCCUGCUGCAUGGUGGGGGUUGGAAAGUUUCGGCGGUUGGGGAUGGACUCGCGGCUUAUCAGCUUGUUGGUGGGGUAGUGGCUUACCAAGGCUUUGACGGGUAGCCGGCCUGAGAGGGUGACCGGCCACAUUGGGACUGCGAUACGGCCCAGACUCCUACGGGAGGCAGCAGUGGGGAGUAUGGCACAAUGGGCGGAAGCCUGAUGCAGCAGCGCCGCGUGCGGGAUGACGGCCUUCGGGUUGUAAACCGCUUUCGCCUGUGACGAAGCGUGAGUGACGGUAAUGGGUAAAGAAGCACCGGCUAACUACGUG
rnacentral:rRNA from 1 species